GGCCUAACACAUGCAAGUCGAGCGCGCCUUCGGGCGAGCGGCGGACGGGUUAGUAACGCGUGGGAACGUGCCCAGAUCUACGGAAUAGCCACUGGAAACGGUGAGUAAUACCGUAUACGCCCUUUGGGGGAAAGAUUUAUCGGAUUUGGAUCGGCCCGCGUUAGAUUAGGUAGUUGGUGGGGUAAUGGCCUACCAAGCCUACGAUCUAUAGCUGGUUUUAGAGGAUGAUCGGCAACACUGGGACUGAGACACGGCCCAGACUCCUACGGGAGGCAGCAGUGGGGAAUCUUGGACAAUGGGGGCAACCCUGAUCCAGCCAUGCCGCGUGAGUGAAGAAGGCCCUAGGGUCGUAAAACUCUUUCGCCUGUGAUGAUAAUGACAGUAGCAGGUAAAGAAGCCCCGGCUAACUCCGUGCCAGCAGCCGCGGUAAUACGGAGGGGGUUAGCGUUGUUCGGAAUUACUGGGCGUAAAGCGCACGUAGGCGGAUUAGAAAGUUAGAGGUGAAAUCCCGGGGCUCAACCCCGGAACUGCCUUUAAAACUACUAGUCUAGAGUUCGAGAGAGGUGAGUGGAAUUCCGAG
rnacentral:rRNA from 1 species